ACGGAAGGCAGCAGUGAGGAAUAUUGGUCAAUGGACGGAAGUCUGAACCAGCCAUGCCGCGUGAAGGAAUAAGGCCCUAUGGGUCGUAAACUUCUUUUGUGGUGGAGCAAUAAGGUGCACGUGUGCAUCGAUGAGAGUACAUCACGAAUAAGCAUCGGCUAACUCCGUGCCAGCAGCCGCGGUAAUACGGAGGAUGCGAGCGUUAUCCGGAUUUAUUGGGUUUAAAGGGUGCGUAGGCUGUUCUUCAAGUCAGAGGUGAAAUGCCGGGGCUCAACCCUGGAACUGCCUUUGAUACUGGAGGGCUUGAAUACUGUUGCCGUGGGAGGAAUGAGUAGUGUAGCGGUGAAAUGCAUAGAUAUUACUCAGAACACCGAUUGCGAAGGCAUCUCACGAAGCAGCGAUUGACGCUGAGGCACGAAAGCGUGGGGAUCAAACAGGAUUAGAUACCCUGGUA
rnacentral:rRNA from 2 species